UGACCCCUUGCGGGAGAGCCCCGGCACCGCUUCGCGCCGGGCACCGAAGGAGCAAGCCUCCCCGCCAAUCUCUCAGGUAUUGCGUACCGCGGGGGUCGG
rnacentral:ncRNA from 2 species